AUGCCCCAAGCCCCUUCUGCAAUUGAUGUCCCCCCCGAGGAUGAUGUGUCACUACUUGAAGACUGAUCUCAGGAAGGACAAAUCAAUUCUGCAGUGAGUCCUGGUACUCCUUCUAACAAUCAGCAUUCCUGGUUCCCAGGGCUCUUCAAGGCCUAAAAAAAAGACCUAAAAACCUAAAAACCGAAUAUGCAUAUUCCCUGCAGUAUUUUCACUGCCUCAAGACAGACAAAAGGAUCUUGAAAAGUUCCUGCAUCCAUUCAGCAUGAGAACAGGGUGGAGUUGGAAGUGGCAGUGGUGAAGAACUGCUCCGGGUCCUGUGGUGGCUGCAGAGGAAAGGAGAGCUGGCCCCAGGAGCAGAGGAGCUGUCCCCAGUGCUGAGCUGGCACAGAGGUGCUGCCUGCCUGCGGCCGGGAGCCGCUCCGUGGCA
rnacentral:lncRNA from 1 species